rnacentral:tRNA from 5 species
CGCGGGAUGGAGCAGUUGGUAGCUCGUCGGGCUCAUAACCCGAAGGUCGUUGGUUCAAGUCCAGCUCCCGCAACCA